rnacentral:rRNA from 1 species
GAUGAACGCUGGCUACAGGCUUAGCACAUGCAAGUCGAGGGGAAACGACGGGGAAGCUUGCUUCCCCGGGCGUCGACCGGCGCACGGGUGAGUAACGCGUAUCCAACCUGCCUCUGACUGAGGGAUAACCCGUCGAAAGUCGGCCUAAUACCUCAUGGUAUCGUCUGCGGGCAUCCAACGACGAUUAAAGAUUUCAUCGGUCAGGGAUGGGGAUGCGUCUGAUUAGCUUGUUGGCGGGGUAACGGCCCACCAAGGCUACGAUCAGUAGGGGUUCUGAGAGGAAGGUCCCCCACAUUGGAACUGAGGCACGGUCCAAACUCCUACGGGAGGCAGCAGUGAGGAAUAUUGGUCAAUGGGCGAGAGCCUGAACCAGCCAAGUAGCGUGCAGGAAGACGGCCCUAUGGGUUGUAAACUGCUUUUAUGCGGGGAUAAAGUGAGGGACGUGUCCCUCAUUGCAGGUACCGCAUGAAUAAGGACCGGCUAAUUCCGUG